AUCCAGGAUAGGCUGUGUCCAGCUGCAGGCCUAUUCUUGAUUACUUGUUUCUGGAGGCAGCUGACUGCACCCUGCCAGAAGCAAGUAUUCCAAGACAUUCCCCUAGUGCUUGCCCACCAUGUUUUCAUUUUCUACCCUGGGCCAUGGAAU
ensembl:miRNA sha-mir-26a sha-mir-26a